AAGUGGGGACGACCCCACCGCUCUAUUUUCCACCGGGGACGGCCCUG
rnacentral:ncRNA from 1 species